rnacentral:rRNA from 1 species
CCUACGGGUGACAGCAGUGAGGAAUAUUGGUCAAUGGGCGCGAGCCUGAACCAGCCAAGUAGCGUGAAGGAUGACUGCCCUACGGGUUGUAAACUUCUUUUGUCAGGGAGCAAUUGGGUCCACGCGUGGGCUUAGCGAUAGUACCUGAAGAAAAAGCAUCGGCAAACUCCGUGCCAGCAGCCGCGGUAAUACGGAGGAUGCGAGCGUUAUCCGGAUUUAUUGGGUUUAAAGGGUGCGUAGGCGGAAUAUCAAGUCAGCGGUAAAAAUUCGGGGCUCAACCGCGUAGUGCCGUUGAAACUGAUAAUCUGGAGUGGGCGAGAGGAAUGCGGAAUGCGUGGUGUAGCGGUGAAAUGCGUAGAUAGCACGCAGAACUCCGGUUGCGAAGGCAGCAUACCGGCGCACAACUGACGCUGAAGCACGAAAGCGUGGGUAUCGAACAGGAUUAGAUACCCCAGUAGUC